UCAGUUGCCAUCAUUAAGUUGGGGCACUCUGUGGAGACUGCCGGUGUUAAACCGGAGGAAGGUGGGGAUGACGUCAAGUCCUCAUGGCCCUUAUGACCAGGGCUACACACGUGCUACAAUGGCCGGUACAAAGAGUUGCGAGACCGCGAGGUGGAGCCAAUCUCAGAAAGCCGGUCUCAGUUCGGAUUAGAGUCUGCAACUCGACUCUAUGAAGUUGGAAUCGCUAGUAAUCGCGGAUCAGCACGCCGCGGUGAAUACGUUCCCGGGCCUU
rnacentral:rRNA from 1 species